UUUAGGAAAUAAAUAAAAAUAAAACCCUAGACGUAUAGUAUCCUCCAAACACAGAUCUAAGCUCUUCUCUAUCUCUAAGCUCUGGCGAUUGACGACGGCGGCAAGUUGGACUCCUCUCUCACAUCGACGAAGGCGGGUAUCUCCAGACUCCAGCGAUCGAUGACGAUGACGGCUUGAAAUCCUCUCUCUAUAGUCUACGAAAGUGGCAUCAGCAGCGGCAGUGUUUGAUGGAAAUAUUGGCGGCGUGAGCAGCGGCGACGGCACCAGCUCCGGCGUUGCUGCGCUUCCUCAGGUAUGUGCGGUUGCUGUCUUUCAUUUAUUUAACUACUCAAAUUGUAAUUUCAGUUUUAAAUUUAAAGUUUAUAUAUGUCAAUGCCGUUCGAGACUACAUAUUGAAGAUCGAGAAGGAGCUCUAACCAUUUUUAGCACAACCACCGUCACACCGCCCCUUCUCCGCUGCCCAGCCAUAGCCACAGCCGCCAUAGCCCACCGCCACACCAACCUCCGCCGCCGCCAUCGCUCUAAUUUAGGUCUUGUAUACUAAACUACUAAAGUUUGACAAACCUUCAUAUUUAGUACACAAGAGGUUGCUUAUGAUGAUUUUGUUGAUGCUGGAUCAUUUGCAGUUGCAAGAGAGAAAAUACUUCUAAGUUUGUUUUUCCAAGUGUUGUUUAUGUUUUCUGUAUGAUUUUUGCAUUUUGAAAUCUAUCAUGGUCUAAUUUUGGUGAAGGUCUACAUUUGAUCAAAGUCAUUGAAGAAGAAGGUUGUGGAUGCUGCAUUGAUCAAAGCUAUUGAAGUAGUGCCGGAUUUGAAGGCUUAUUUGGGUGCAGCAUACUUAAGUAGUAUCAAUUAAGUAGUAAUAUUUUCAUGACUUUUUUUUAUGAACAUGACAAUAAUUUUUGU